rnacentral:rRNA from 1 species
UGCGUAGGCGGGUUUCUAAGUCAGAGGUGAAAGCCUGGAGCCCAACUCCAGAACUGCCUUUGAUACUGGAAGUCUUGAGUUCGGGAGAGGUGAGUGGAACUGCGAGUGUAGAGGUGAAAUUCGUAGAUAUUCGCAAGAACACCAGUGGCGAAGGCGGCUCACUGGCCCGAUACUGACGCUGAGGCACGAAAGCGUGGGAGCAAACA